UCUCCGUUGGUGAACCAGCGGAGGGAUCAUUACCGAGUUUACAACUCCCAAACCCAAUGUGAACUAUACCUGUCUACCGUUGCUUCGGCGGAUUCGCCCGCCGAGGGACCGGCAAAUAAACUCUUGUAUUUCUAUCUUUAGCAUGUCUGAGUGGAAUCAUAAACAAAUGAAUCAAAACUUUCAACAACGGAUCUCUUGGUUCUG
rnacentral:misc_RNA from 1 species